GGCUGGAUCACCUCCUUUCUAAGGGAUGUUCUUGUCGCGUCGGCGAGCUUGCUCGCGCGAUGUCGGCAAGUUCCACCUAGGUCGAUCGUUGGACUUAUCCUCUGUUCAGUUUCCAGGGAAUCGGCAGGUUCCUGGACUGGGCCUAUAGCUCAGUUGGUCAGAGCGCACGCCUGAUAAGCGUGAGGUCGGUAGUUCAAAUCUACCUAGGCCCACCAAGGUAGCGGUGGCGCCGGGAGAUCGGGCUGCCGGCAGGCAGGAAACGCGGGGCUGUAGCUCAGCUGGGAGAGCACCUGGUUUGCAACCAGGGGGUCGUCGGUUCGAUCCCGAUCAGCUCCACCAGAGACAGCCCGAAGGUUUGAAAUGUGGAGCCCGGGGAUGCGCCAUUGCGAGACUCUCGCAGCUGCGGAUCCCAGUGAUCCUGAAGUCGAUGUUCAUUGACAACUGAAUCGAAUUUGUAAGUUGUAGCGACAAGAUUCGCCGGUUAGUAAGACACUCAAGUUUGGUCAAGCUAUUAAGGGUGCACGGUGGAUGCCUUGGCGAAGAGAGGCGAUGAAGGACGUGGCAAGCUGCGAUAAGCCUCGGGAGCCGCAAGCAGGCUUUGAUCCGGGGAUUUCCGAAUGGGGAAACCCAACUGGAGUUAUGUCCAGUUAUUCAGGCGUAAAUUCAUAGCGCCUGAAAGCGAACGGGGGGAAGUGAACCAUCUCAGUACCCCCAGGAGAAGAAAGCAAACGCGAUUCCGUCAGUAGCGGCGAGCGAACACGGAUGUAGCCCAAACCGGGAAGGUGCAAUAGCCCACAAGCGUUGCCUUGCCGGUGUUGUGGGGCGCUGUGCGAUCCGAUUGUGGUCGGGUCGGGGAGUUACCAACUGCCUGCUUAGUCAAAUGUGCCUGGAAAGGCCAGCCAUAGAGGGUGAAAGCCCCGUAGGCGAAAAGCACGGCAGCUCCUUAACAGCGUUCCCGAGUACCACGGGGCACGUGAAACCCCGUGGGAAACUGGGUGGACCAUCACCCAAGGCUAAAUACUCCUCUUCGACCGAUAGUGAACCAGUACCGUGAGGGAAAGGUGAAAAGCACCCCUGUUAGGGGAGUGAAAUAGUACCUGAAACCGUGCAUCUACAAGCAGUGGAAGCACUAUGGCCCCGCAAGGGAGUCCAGUGCGACCGCGUGCCUUUUGCAUAAUGAGCCGGCUAGUUAUUGUCACUGGCGAGGCGAAGCGACGUGCUGAGCCGUAGCGAAAGCGAGUCUGAAUAGGGCGACUCAGUCAGUGGUAAUAGACGCGAAGCGGGAUGAUCUACCCAUGGCCAGGGGGAAGCUGCGGUAACACGCAGUGGACGCCCGAACCGGUGUUUGUUGAAAAAAGCUCGGAUGAGCUGUGGGUAGGGGUGAAAGGCUAAUCAAAUUCCGUGAUAGCUCGUUCUCCCCGAAAUGUCUUUAGGGACAGCCUUGCAGGUGCAUCGCGGAGGUAGAGCACUGAAUGGACUAGGGGUCUUACCAGACUACCGAAUCCAAUCAAACUCCGAAUGCCGCAGAUGUGAACUGCAGGAGUGAGACUACGGGGGAUAAGCCUCGUGGUCAAAAGGGAAAGAGCCCAGAUCGCCAGCUAAGGUCCCAAAAUCUCAGCUAAGUGGAAAAGGAUGUCGAAGCGCUCAGACAGCCAGGAGGUUGGCUUAGAAGCAGCCACCCUUUAAAGAAAGCGUAAUAGCUCACUGGUCAAGCGGUUCGGUGCCGAUAAUUCAACGGGGCUCAAGCUGAGUACCGAAGCUGCGAAUGUACGGAACCCUCCGGGGUACCGUACGUGGUAGGGGAGCAUUCUGUGCGCAUUGAAGGUUGAUCGAAAGAACAGCUGGAGCGCACGGAAGAGACUCUGCCGGCACAAGUAGCGAUAAAGCGUGUGAGAACCACGCUGGCCGAAAGUCUAAGGUUUCCUGGGGAAGGUCAAUCCGCCCAGGGUUAGUCGGUCCCUAAGGCGAGGCCGAAAGGCGUAGUCGAUGGGAAACAGGUCAAUAUUCCUGUACCACCGCAUAGUCGUUUGGACGUUGGGGUGACGCAGAAGGAUAAGCGGGCCUACGAUUGGAAGUGUAGGUUGAAGUGUGUAGGCGGGAGCGAUAGGUAAAUCCGUUGCUCCAUUCAACGCCGAGGCACGAUAUCGAUCCCUUCGGGGAACAAAGCCGCCCACUCCAUGCUGCCAAGAAAAACCUCGAGACGGAGAUUAUGAGGUGACCGUACCGUAAACCGACACAGGUAGACGGGUAGAGAAUACCAAGGCCCUUGAGUGAUCCCUUGCGAAGGAACUCGGCAAUUUGACACCGUAACUUCGGGAGAAGGUGUGCCGUCAGAAGUGUAGGGGUUCGCCCCCGAAGCUUUUGGCGGUCGCAGUAAAAUGGCCCAAGCGACUGUUUAUCAAAAAACACAGGACUCUGCAAAGUCGAAAACGACGUAUAGGGUCUGACGCCUGCCCGGUGCCGGAAGGUUAAGAGGAAGGGUUAGCCGCAAGGCGAAGCUCCCAAUCGAAGCCCCGGUAAACGGCGGCCGUAACUAUAACGGUCCUAAGGUAGCGAAAUUCCUUGUCGGGUAAGUUCCGACCUGCACGAAUGGCGUAACGAUUUGGGCACUGUCUCCGCAAGGGGCUCAGCGAAUCUGUAGUACCGGUGAAGAUGCCGGUUACCCGCACGUAGACGGAAAGACCCUGUGCACCUUUACUGCACCCUGGCCCUGAACCUCGGUGCGCUAUGUGUAGGAUAGGUGGGAGGCUUUGAAACCGGGCCGCUAGGCUCGGUGGAGCCAACGGUGAAAUACCACCCUUAGCGUUCUGAAGUUCUAACCCAGACCCGUAAUCCGGGUCGGAAACAAGGUCAGGCGGGUAGUUUGACUGGGGCGGUCGCCUCCUAAAGAGUAACGGAGGCGCU
rnacentral:misc_RNA from 1 species